CAGGACGAACGCUGGCGGCACGCUUAACACAUGCAAGUCGAACGGUGAAGGUACUUCGGUACCGGAACAGUGGCGGACGGGUGAGUAACACGUGAGCAAUCUGCCUUUAAGAGUGGAAUAGCAACUGGAAACGGUUGGUAAUACCGCAUAAUAUACAUUUACCGCAUGAUAGAUGUAUCAAAGAUUUUAUCGCUUAAAGAUGAGCUCGCGUCUGAUUAGCUAGUUGGUGAGGUAACGGCCCACCAAGGCGACGAUCAGUAGCCGGACUGAGAGGUUGAACGGCCACAUUGGGACUGAGACACGGCCCAGACUCCUACGGGAGGCAGCAGUGGGGAAUAUUGCACAAUGGGCGCAAGCCUGAUGCAGCGAUGCCGCGUGAGGGAAGAAGGUUUUCGGAUUGUAAACCUCUGUUGACAGGGACGAUAAUGACGGUACCUGUUCAGAAAGCUCCGGCUAACUACGUGCCAGCCGCCGC
rnacentral:rRNA from 1 species